rnacentral:lncRNA from 1 species
CUCUAAUUCCCUCAAAGUAAACAUAACAAAAGAAAAUAAAAGGAGUCUAAAGACAUGUCGGGGUGUGAUAUCAGAUGGAAGUGGAAUUAGAGUUGGUGGAUUGAAGUGGGAAGAACCGACAAAUCAGUGUCCUGUGAAAUGUGCACAUGUAUGUCAUCAAGCUGUACGGUACAUCUAUCCAAUUUUCGUAUGACCUGAUUGCAUGCUCUACUGAUGCAGCUUUGCUCAAGGGCAGUUUUCUGUUAGUCGAGUCCAUAGAUUGUUGUAUGGUAUGGACAGAGUCCACCCUUGUACGAAUGGUGGCAAAGUCUUGUUGUAGGGCUUUGUUGCGGAAAUCUUCAAGAAAUCAAUCAUCUGGGCUCAAAAAAACCAACCAAACAAAUACCAUAGCCAGCUUGAAUGUGACCCAAAAACUCUUCCAACACCUUGGUUGCCACAAAUCCUCUCAACACUACAAAGGAGAAGACGGUGG